GAUGAACGCUGGCGGCGUGCCUAAUACAUGCAAGUCGAGCGAACAGACGAGGAGCUUGCUCCUCUGACGUUAGCGGCGGACGGGUGAGUAACAUGUGGAUAACCUACCUAUAUGACUGGGAUAACUUCGGGAAACCGGAGCUAAUACCGGAUAAUAUAUUGAACCGCAUGGUUCAAUAGUGAAAGACGGUUUUGCUGUCACUUAUAGAUGGAUCCGCGCCGCAUUAGCUAGUUGGUAAGGUAACGGCUUACCAAGGCAACGAUGCGUAGCCGACCUGAGAGGGUGAUCGGCCACACUGGAACUGAGACACGGUCCAGACUCCUACGGGAGGCAGCAGUAGGGAAUCUUCCGCAAUGGGCGAAAGCCUGACGGAGCAACGCCGCGUGAGUGAUGAAGGUCUUCGGAUCGUAAAACUCUGUUAUUAGGGAAGAACAAAUGUGUAAGUAACUAUGCACGUCUUGACGGUACCUAAUCAGAAAGCCACGGCUAACUACGUG
rnacentral:rRNA from 1 species